rnacentral:rRNA from 1 species
AUGGACAUCAUGUACAAGAUCCCAGCACACAUAUCUGAUCCAGCCUCCCUUGCCCGCCUCGCUUCGUCCAGCAAGUUCUGGCGCAAUCUCAUCAAGGACCCGACCUUCCUUGAUCGCCUUAGGAGGCGGCACGACGACCAUGGCUUCACCCCGUCCCUCCUUCUUGGCUUCUUCUACCAGGACAAGAAAAGGUCUUCUCCAAACCUCUGGAAGCAUCAUAUUGACAAAACACGUUGUUUGGCACCAAGCUUCAUGCGGGUGUCAGAAUUGUCACAAUUUGUUGGCAGCAAAUCCGCUCGCAAUGCUAUCAAGCCACUAUCCCUUGAGACCUUCAUUCCAGGUGUUGGUGCCAGCCUCAACUUCUAUGAGCCCAUUGCAUCCCAGGACAACUUCCUGGCCCUUCGCCGCCAAUCAAAAGCUGCCGCUGCCAAUGGUGGUCAGGCCAUCAAUGAUUUGCUAUUUGUCUCCAAUCCUCUCACUGGUGAAACCUUUGAGAUUCCUAGCCACUUAUAUGUACCUCCCGACCAUUAUGCCUUGUUUGUCACCAAUGACGUCGACAUUAAUGGACGUAUGUCCCAAUCCUUCCAACUGACUGCCAUUUGGAUAAAAAAGGGAGAUCGUUUCAUCUGUGUGUGCUACAGCUCGAAGACUGGAACAUGGACGAGGUCUCAAGGAGUUCCUCAGCUAAUGCAUGGUCUUUACUUGGUGUCAUCCUCGGCUGCCGCUUCGUGUGGUGUCAUCCGUUGGCUCUGUGGUAGCUGGAAACAAAUGUCGGUUACUCACGUUGCCACUCUGCACAUUGGCAAUAUGGCGCUGUCAUACCUGGAGCUCCCACCCGAAGCAAAGCGCAACAAAGCGCCAGUGCUGGGGAGUUCAGCAGACGGGGGGAUUCUGUUGGUCAUCGUGCAAGGGCUUCAGAUGACACUUUGGAAACACAACAGUGAGCUUGGCAGUGACUCCAGCAGCUGGGUGCUUUCUGAAAGGAUUGACAUGAGAAGUUCCUUGCCGCAGCGAGUGGCCACGUUGGGGAUCAGGGCAAAGGUGAGGUUGGAGAUGUUCCGAGGCAAAAGUGGGACGGCGGUGCUCUGGAUCGAUGAGGAAGGCCUCUUUCUGUUUAGCCUCAGCGAUAGGUCGAUGAGGAGGAUCGACAGUGCGCAUGUGACCAAGAAGUACUUCCUCUGCCCAUAUGAGAUAGAUUGGCUGUCCUGCCUUGCAAUCACGAACCUUGUCGUCGAUGGCUCGCUAUCUCUGGACGUAGAAAGGGGAAGGCCCAAGGCAGAUGGAGGACAUUAA